rnacentral:rRNA from 1 species
UACGGAGGGGGCGAGCGUUAUUCGGAAUUAUUGGGCGUAAAGGGCGCGUAGGCGGCUUUCUAAGUCAAAGGUGAAAUCCCUCGGCUCAACUGAGGAACUGCCUUUGAAACUGGCAAGCUUGAGGCCGGGAGAGGGUAGCGGAAUUCCCAGUGUAGCGGUGAAAUGCGUAGAUACUGGGAGGAACACCGGUGGCGAAGGCGGCUACCUGGACCGGUACUGACGCUGAGGCGCGAAAGCUAGGGGAGCGAACAGG